rnacentral:rRNA from 1 species
ACCCCCCAAGGUUUUUGGAAGGUGAUGCCUGCCCAGUGACUAACGUUUAACGGCCGCGGUAUCCUAACCGUGCGAAGGUAGCGCAAUCAAUUGUCCCAUAAAUAGAGACUUGUAUGAAUGGCUAAACGAGGUCUUAACUGUCUCUUGUAGAUAAUCAAUGAAAUUGAUCUCCCUGUGCAAAAGCAGGAAUAAACCCAUAAGACGAGAAGACCCUGUGGAACUUAAAAAUCUAAGGUCAAUGCAAACUUAACUCACCCUAAUGGUUUACUUUUCCUGCAGUAUAUGACCUUCAUUUUUUCGGUUGGGGCGACCUUGGAGCACAAACUAACCUCCAAAAAUAAGACUAAACAUCUUGACCCAGAGCUACCACUCAAAGUGCCAAUAGCAACCAGACCCAAUACAAUUGAUUAAUGAACCAAGCUACCCCAGGGAUAACAGCGCAAUCUCCUUCAAGAGCCCCUAUCGACAAGGAGGUUUACGACCUCGAUGUUGGAUCAGGACAUCCUAAUGGUGCAGCCGCUAUUAAGGGUUCGUUUGUUCAACGAUUAACAGUCCUACGUGAUCUGAUUCAGACCGGA